rnacentral:rRNA from 1 species
GACAGAGGAUGCAAGCGUUAUCCGGAAUGAUUGGGCGUAAAGCGUCUGUAGGUGGCUUUUCAAGUCCGCCGUCAAAUCCCAGGGCUCAACCCUGGACAGGCGGUGGAAACUGCCAAGCUGGAGUACGGUAGGGGCAGAGGGAAUUUCCGGUGGAGCGGUGAAAUGCGUAGAGAUCGGAAAGAACACCAACGGCGAAAGCACUCUGCUGGGCCGACACUGACACUGAGGCGCGAAAGCGUGGGGAGCAAACAGG